rnacentral:lncRNA from 1 species
GGAGAAAUUAUGACCGAGAGCCUGACACCUGAUGCUGGCGGCUUUUGUCUCGCCAAGUUGACCCAGUAUUUGGCCACCUUGUGCGGCGGGUGACUAUGGUGUCCCGGUAAGUGGCAGGCGUCCCAGGAAUGGGAGAAGAGAUGGGUAUAUAUAUGUAUUACCUGAAAGCUGAGGGCAGCUGUUGCCUUGGGUCAUGCAGAGAAUAUGCAGCCACACCCAUGCCUUAGAUGUGUGUAAUUCAAGUGGAGAAGACACAAGCCAGUGGUCGCAAUAUCAACACUUGAGUGUUCUGUAAACGGAUUGGUGUCAGCAGAAAACCAACAGUGAUGUGGUGGCACACAGUGAACUGACCAGACCCAGGCAGCAGCGGCUCUUUUGGUGGCAAUGGUG